rnacentral:tRNA from 1 species
CCCCGGACGAACGCUAUGCGCCAGUUGUCCGCUGGUCAGCGCGCCAAUGGCCGCCCCCAGCGGAAUUGCCGCAUA